rnacentral:rRNA from 1 species
GAGUUUGAUCCUGGCUCAGGAUGAACGCUGGCGGCGUGCUUAACACAUGCAAGUCGAACGGACCCAUAUUGAAACCUGGUGAUAUAUGGGUUAGUGGCGGACGGGUGAGUAACGCGUGGGCAACCUGCCUUACACAGGGGGAUAACACUUAGAAAUAGGUGCUAAAACCGCAUAAGCGCACAGCUUCGCAUGAAGCGGUGUGAAAAACUCCGGUGGUGUAAGAUGGACCCGCGUCUGAUUAGCUUGUUGGCGGGGUAACGGCCCACCAAGGCGACGAUCAGUAGCCGGCCUGAGAGGGCGGACGGCCACAUUGGGACUGAGACACGGCCCAGACUCCUACGGGAGGCAGCAGUGGGGAAUAUUGCACAAUGGGGGAAACCCUGAUGCAGCGACGCCGCGUGAGUGAAGGAGUAAUUCGUUACGUAAAGCUCUAUCAGCAGGGAAGAAACACUGACCUUACGGUCAGCAGACGGUACCUGAGUAAGAAGCCCCGGCUAACUACGUGCCAGCAGCCGCGGUAAUACGUAGGGGGCAAGCGUUAUCCGGAUUUACUGGGUGUAAAGGGAGCGUAGACGGUGCGCCAAGUCUGGAGUGAAAUGCCGCAGCUUAACUGCGGAACUGCUUUGGAAACUGGCGAACUAGAGUGCGGGAGGGGUAAGCGGAAUUCCUAGUGUAGCGGUGAAAUGCGUAGAUAUUAGGAGGAACACCGGUGGCGAAGGCGGCUUACUGGACCGUAACUGACGUUGAGGCUCGAAAGCGUGGGGAGCAAACAGGAUUAGAUACCCUGGUAGUCCACGCCGUAAACGAUGAUUACUAGGUGUCGGGGACCCAAGGGUCUCCGGUGCCGCCGCAAACGCAUUAAGUAAUCCACCUGGGGAGUACGUUCGCAAGAAUGAAACUCAAAGGAAUUGACGG